rnacentral:ncRNA from 1 species
GGCAACUGCCCCGAAAGGGGGUGUUGUAAUGUUUAAAGAAAUCAUCACAUUGGUUGUCGCCCCACUUUUUGUGGCGCUAGUAACCAUUCUAGUCGAACAUUGGUUAGAUAAUCGAGACGACAACUAAAAAAGCAGUUGCUGACUAACCCACGUGCUUGCAGUCGCAACAAGCAA